CAGCAGCCGCGGUAACACGGAGGGUGCAAGCGUUAUCCGGAUUUAUUGGGUUUAAAGGGUCCGUAGGCGGAUCUGUAAGUCAGUGGUGAAAUCUCACAGCUUAACUGUGAAACUGCCAUUGAUACUGCAGGUCUUGAGUAAAUUUGAAGUGUCUGGAAUAAGUAGUGUAGCGGUGAAAUGCAUAGAUAUUACUUAGAACACCAAUUGCGAAGGCAGGUCACUAAGAUUUAACUGACGCUGAUGGACGAAAGCGUGGGGAGCGAACAGGAUUAGAUACCCCCGUAGUCCCUGUCUCUUAUAC
rnacentral:rRNA from 1 species